rnacentral:rRNA from 1 species
CCCUUAGAUGUUCUGGGCCGCACGCGCGCUACACUGAUGCAUUCAACGAGCCUAUCCUUGACCGACAGGUCCGGGUAAUCUUUGAAUCUGCAUCGUGACGGGGAUAGAUUAUUGCAAUUAUUAAUCUUCAACGAGGAAUGCCUAGUAGGCGCAAGUCAUCAGCUUGCGUCGAUUACGUCCCUGCCCUUUGUACACACCGCCCGUCGCUCCUACCGAUUGGGUGUGCUGGUGAAAUGUUCGGAUCGGCCGUUUGUCGCGGUUUCCGCGUCAUGUGGCUGAGAAGUUCAUUAAACCCUCCCGCCUAGAGGAAGGAGAAGUCGUAACA